rnacentral:rRNA from 1 species
AUUGAACGCUGGCGGCAUGCCUUACACAUGCAAGUCGAACGGUAACAGGUCUUUCGGGAUGCUGACGAGUGGCGAACGGGUGAGUAAUACAUCGGAACGUGCCUAGUAGUGGGGGAUAACUACUCGAAAGAGUGGCUAAUACCGCAUGAGAUCUAUGGAUGAAAGCAGGGGACCUUCGGGCCUUGUGCUACUAGAGCGGCCGAUGGCAGAUUAGGUAGUUGGUGGAUAAAAGCUUACCAAGCCUACGAUCUGUAGCUGGUCUGAGAGGACGGUCAGCCACACUGGGACUGAGACACGGCCCAGACUCCUACGGGAGGCAGCAGUGGGGAAUUUUGGACAAUGGGCGCAAGCCUGAUCCAGCAAUGCCGCGUGCAGGAUGAAGGCCUUCGGGUUGUAAACUGCUUUUGUACGGAACGAAAAGUCUUGGGUUAAUACCCUGGGAUCAUGACGGUACCGUAAGAAUAAGCACCGGCUAACUACGUGCCAGCCGCCGCGGUAAUAC